rnacentral:misc_RNA from 1 species
ACCUUAAAGAACCUGCCUUUGUAGUGCUCACACAGAUUGUCUGAUGAAAAGUAAAUAGCAAGGCGUCUUGCGAUUGAGACUGUACGUCCCCUUCGUCUAGAGGCCCAGGACACCGCCCUUUCACGGCGGUAACAGGGGUUCGAAUCCCCUAGGGGACGCCACUUGCUGGUUCGUGAGUGAAAGUCACCUGCCUUAAUAUCUCAAAACUGACUUGCGAGUCAUGUUUGAGAUAUUUGCUCUUUAAAAAUCUGGAUCAAGCUGAAAAUUGAAACGACACACAGCUCAUGUGUGUUCGAGUCUCUCAAAUUUUCGCAAGUCGAUGGUGAAUCGAAAGAAACAUCUUCGGGUUGUGA